CCCUGGUAGUCCACGCUGUAAACGAUGUCGAUUUGGAGGUUGUUCCCUAGAGGAGUGGCUUCCGGAGCUAACGCGUUAAAUCGACCGCCUGGGGAGUACGGCCGCAAGGUUAAAACUCAAAUGAAUUGACGGGGGCCCGCACAAGCGGUGGAGCAUGUGGUUUAAUUCGAUGCAACGCGAAGAACCUUACCUACUCUUGACAUCCAGAGAAUUGAGCAGAGAUGGUGAAGUGCCUUCGGGAACUCUGAGACAGGUGCUGCAUGGCUGUCGUCAGCUCGUGUCUGUGAAAUGUUGGGUUAAGUCCCGCAACGAGCGCAACCCUUGAUCCUUAUGUUGCCAGCAGACUCGGUGUGGCACUCUAAUGAGA
rnacentral:rRNA from 1 species